rnacentral:rRNA from 1 species
GGGCCCCGCACAAGCAGCGGAGCGUGUGGUUUAAUUCGAUGUUACACGAAGAACCUUACCUGGGAUUGACAUGGAGGUGGUAGGGAAGCGAAAGCGGACCGACUCUUCGAAGAGCCUUCACAGGUGCUGCAUGGCUGUCGUCAGCUCGUGCCGUGAGGUGUCGGGUUAAGUCCCGUAACGAGCGCAACCCUUGCCCUUAGUUACAAGUGUCUAGGGGGACUGCCGGCGGGAAGCCGGAGGAAGGUGGGGAUGACGUCAAGUCAGCAUGGCCCUUAUAUCCAGGGCUACACACACGCUACAAUGGUCGGUACAAUGGGUCGCCAAGCCGCGAGGCGGAGCCAAUCCUCCAAAACCGGCCUCAGUUCAGAUUGUAGGCUGCAACUCGCCUGCAUGAAGUUGGAGUUGCUAGUAACCGCGCGUCAGCUAUAGUGCGGUGAAUACGUUCCCGGGGCUU